rnacentral:lncRNA from 1 species
ACGCGUGGGUGGCAGCGAUCAAACUGUGAACGGACUCUCAGCUUGGAGAUCAGAGAGUCUGGGAGGAAGAGGUCAGAAGAAGGGAUUGAGGAAGAUGGAUGGAGAGGACAGGGAAGAGAGGACUGGCCAAGCUGGGUUUACACAGCACCGAUAAAGCCCCAGGGCCUGAAGAUCUGUCCGUAGGCUUACAGUACCCAUGGAGGCAGAGGCCACAAAGGACCUGAGGUGUCAGGUGGAGCUGAACAGUCAGACUGGGGCCAAGCAUCUCUUCAUGGCUGGGGCUACUGCCCAGGACAGCUCACUCCAGUCCUAAGGACAGGAGGCUACUAAACAAUGCUAGCAAGUGCUCUAACGCUGAACUGAGCUACACACCCCAGCCCUUUUGUUCCUUCUGCCUCCACAAAUUAAGACACUGGUCAAGCUGCCUUGC